rnacentral:rRNA from 1 species
AGCAAUACCGUUAGCGGCGGACGGGUGAGGAACACAUAGGAAUUUGCCUUUAGGUGGGGGAUAGCCCAGGGAAACUUGGAGUAAUACCGCAUGAUGUCGCAAGACCAAAGCAGGGGAUCGCAAGACCUUGCGCCUUUAGAGGAGCCUAUGUCUGAUUAGCUAGUUGGUAGGGUAAUGGCCUACCAAGGCGACGAUCAGUAACUGGUCUGAGAGGACGAUCAGUCACACUGGAACUGAGACACGGUCCAGACUCCUACGGGAGGCAGCAGUGGGGAAUAUUGGACAAUGGGCGCAAGCCUGAUCCAGCAAUGCCGCGUGUGUGAAGAAGGCCUUCGGGUUGUAAAGCACUUUAGGCCGGGAAGAAAAAAUCAGGGCUAAUAUCCUUGAUCUUGACGGUACCGGAAGAAUAAGCACCGGCUAACUCUGUGCCAGCAGCCGCGGUAAUACAGAGGGUGCGAGCGUUAAUCGGAUUUACUGGGCGUAAAGCGUGUGUAGGUGGUUGUUCAAGUCGGUUGUGAAAUCCCUGGGCUUAACCUGGGAACUGCUUCCGAG